GACGUAGGGCGCGAGCGUUGUCCGGAUUUAUUGGGCGUAAAGAGCUCGUAGGCGGCUUGUUGCGUCGACUGUGAAAACCUGCGGCUCAACCGUGUGGUCUGCAGUCGAUACGGGCAGGCUGGAGUUCGGUAGGGGAGACUGGAAUUCCUGGUGUAGCGGUGAAAUGCGCAGAUAUCAGGAAGAACACCCGUGGCGAAGGCGGCUCUCUGGGACGGUACUGACGCUGAGACGCGAAAAGCGUGGGGAGCGAACAGG
rnacentral:rRNA from 1 species